ACUACGUAAAUCGAAUCGAAAACAGAGCUUAAUGUAGAUCUAUCAGUUUUUGUAGAUCAAAUGGUGUGUAAAUACAGACAACCACUGAGAGAUUUAAACUGAAAACGGCGAUUACCGUAGGCCAUUUUCAGAAAAUCGGUUAUCUUAUUAUUAUCAGCACAUAAUUUAAAACGACUGUACACAGUCCUUCAUAUUUGACUACCGAUAUGUGUUAUGCAUUAUGUGUUUUUACUGUGUCGUGAACAGAAACUAGCAGAAUAUUUAGGGGCGUGACAUUUGGGUUUGAGUAAAGAAGGAAGUUAAAACAUUUGUAUUAAUUGUGUUUCAUUUGGUGGAGUUAAAUAUAAAUUGAAUUCAUGAACAUCUAGUCAGUUGUUGUUUAUUUAUAAAAUGGCUACCGCUGUCUGUUCAGCUAAUAAAAGUUCAGAUUUAGUAAAGGACUAUAUGUGUAGUGCUUGCAAAGAAAAACAGUUUGAAGAAAGUGCAGAAAACUACUGUAAGCAAUGUCUUAAGCUAUUUUGUGGCAAAUGUAUUAACCUUCAUGAUCAGGUAUACGAAAAACAUUUCACGCUCGGGAGGGGAGACAUUAACCAAUGGCCCCUCAAUAAAAAACGGAGGAUUUUCUACAUGAAUGUGAGGUCCACGUAGGAAUGAAACUGGACAUGUUCUGCGAAGACCACAGUCGACUGUGCUGCACUAAUUGUGAUUUCCUAAAUCACAGUGCAGAACCUCCAAGAAGCGGAUCAAAGGGUGCAGCAAAGCAUAAUGCCAAAUCUAAAGCAUCAAUAUUAAAGCAAAGAGUUGAUCCUGAUAUUAAAAGUAAAACCAAUGGAAACAAUAGUACAAAAAGUGAUAAGUCUGAGAGUCACGCUGGUUCAAUGGCUACUAAAGAUGUGGUUAGUAUUGCUGACGGAGGUCAAAAGGGCAAGGAUACAAUUGAGAAGAGUGAAGAACCUCCAAGAAGCGGAUCAAAGGGUGCAACGAAGCAUGAUGCCAAAUAUGAAGCAUCGAUAUUAGGGCAUAGAGUUGGUCCUAAUAUUAAAAGUAAACCAAAUGGAAACAAUAGUGCAAAAAAUGAUAAGUUUGAGAGUCAAGCUGAGUCAAUGGAUACUAAAGUUGUGGCUAGUAUUGCUGAUGGAUGUACAAAUGAUGAAGAUACAAUUGAGAAGAGGUAAACGUCAAUGGAAACAUCCCUACACAGAUUACAAAUAAUUGUUUAUGUAAUUGGAGCAAUAGUGACAGUUUUAAUAAUAUUUUGUUUAAUUAUCUUGAAAAUGUUUUUUUGGGAUGGAACACCUUCAACAACACCUAACCUUGACUUAGACGAAAUAAAAACACAGUUACAAGAAUUGCAAAGUAAUAUGAGAAAUGAAAUGAUUGAGCUUAAACAAGGUUUCAGAUCAAGUUUAAGUACAACAAAAAAAGAGCUGAUGAACGAAAUACCUGGCAAUGAAAAAACUAAACAAACUUUUUUCGAACUUGUGAAAGAUGAAAUUGAAAAUACUCAAAGGAUAGAAACAAUGGAAAACGAAAUUAAAAGUAAUAAAGAAACAUUUGCAACAAUUGACACAACUAUUAUGAAACUUAAAGAGAAUAAUGAAAAUAAGCAACAACAACUUGAAAAAAGUAUUACAGAUAAUAUGGAAAGUAUAAGGCAAACUAUAGAAACAACUGCUAAUGAUUUUGGUAAGAAAAAUGAUACCACAAAAGGAAUUGUUAAUAUUUUGGAAAUAAAACAUACUACCACAGAAAAGAAAGUUAAAGAUUUUGAAAUGAAAUUUUCUACCCAAGAACAGCUGCUGGAUAACAUGCCUUCUUUUAUUGAAGAUGCUAAGCAGCAAGUAGAACAACUCAAUAUUGCCAUGGACAAGUCAAAAGAAGUUUUAAAGAAGUACGGCGAUACACAAAAAAUAAUUCAGCAAAACACUUUUGACAAAGGCAUGUUAGUAUAGAAGAACCAGGAAUUGCACUGGUGGGCAUGAAAAGGACAACUUACAAUGCAGUGAAUAAAAAGGGAGGUGCAUUAGUGAUAUUGUAAGUGAACCACCGUCGAACCAUUCGCAGUCAAGAUCUUUACAGUAAUGAGAUACAGUGUGUAAACAGGCAGCCCGAGUUACAGGUACUUGAGAUGCGUAACAGGUGUAUUAGUACCUAUGACCAGCUGAAUGACCGUCAGAAGAAUGCUUUGAAGCAAGCUGUCAAAGAGGCACUCAAGAAAAGUUUCUAGUGGCAUUGCCAUAUGACACAAAUUAUGCACAAAGGGUAAACAUAAAUGAUGCAUGCUAAGUUUCUGUGAGAAAGAAAUGUAUAUUUUGUUAUAAAAAUGGUAGAGAUUUAUUUACAUUUUUCGAAUCAAGUGCUAUUUAUGUAUUAAGAUUCAAGUUGAAAAUUUAAGGUUAACCAAAAAUUAAUCAACGCUUAUUUUAAAUAAAUAUGCAAGCGUAUAUAUUGAGGUGAUAUAUUUCUUUAAGUUAUUUAAGCAUACAUUUCAUUGAGUGUUAGGGAUUAAGUGCAAAAAGGAUUGUUGUAAAACGGAGCUUUAUUGUCAAUAAACUAAAUGGAAUUGAAAUAAUAAACAGAAGGCAAAAGUCAAGUCUGUACUUCAAGGACUUUAUACUGGUAAAGCAUCCAACCUAGAAAAAGUGUGAGUUGGUUUGCCUACCGCCGUAAUGUGACUGAAAUACUGUUGAAAAUGGCAAAACAACACCAACAAAACCGAAACAAACGAAAUACCUUAUGUAACUUUGCUUAAAUGUUUAAUGUUUAAGUAAUUGAAGCCUAUGUGCAGAAGGCACAAGUCAGUCAUGCCCAUUGAAGGAUUUCCAUACAGUUUGGAAACAAUGUUAAGGUUAUUGUCUGAUGCAAUGUACAGAAGGCGUGAUUCAGUUAAUCUUGAUUAAGGUCAAAGUCACAUUUGAAGGUCAAAUGUUUUUGAUCCUUUUUUCCCCACCAUUUCCCCAGGCCUAACCCUAAUUCAAAGGAAAUGAACUCUGGCCAAAAUGUUUAGGCUAUCAAGAUCUUGGUUCAAGGUAAAAAAAUUUUGCCUCGUGUUUCAUGUUUGCUCCAUUUAUCAUGUACCCUUUGUCGUUUUUUCACUAAACUUGUCACCAAUGUUGGGUCAAUUAUUCGAUGUGUAGGAGCAAUUUAUGAAUACAGCUGGCUAAAGGUCACAUUUGGUCAAACGUAAAGCCUUCAUUGCCUUGUAAAUGCUUUUGCUUCAUAUUGCCUAUCAAAAAUAGCAUAUAGCUGUCCUUGGUACUGCCAUGUACGUUUUAAAUAAAAUUUAAUUUUUCUCACUACUUGGGUGUUCAAAUUUGGAAAGAAUUUACAUUCUGCUGUUAAACUUAAUUUACAAUAAAUUGUAUAAAUGCAAUUUUUCAUUCAACAAACAAUGUAUACAUGCAGAGAAAAGAUGAGGAAAUAGAAGUCAUGGUUGACAUUAAUAUAAUCAUUAAUUAACGUCUGGCCUGAAUGAAAAUUAGGAGGUGUUUCAAGAAUGUGAAAAUGCUGGCAUUACAUAGAUAUUGAAAUCUCACUACUAUUGGAGCAAUAUGAACAGGAUUGCAUUGAUCCAGAAUAAUCUAUAUACUUUGAUUUCUUAAUUAACAUUACUAUGCAGAUCUAAAUGGUUGUUUUAUUAUGCAUGCUUGAUAAGAUAAUUUUGUGAUAUAUAAAUUAGAUAAGUUGUCACUGAUUUAUAUUUGAAAAUAAACAACUUUCUCAUGGAA